CCUAUUAGUCUAAACACCCUAAAGGCAUCAGAUCCUGUCUGUUUUUGGAAGCUAAGCAGAGUCAGCUCCAGUUAGUUCUUGGAUGGGAGUCUGCCAUUGAAUACCAGGUGCUGUGGGC
rnacentral:rRNA from 11 species